GCCUUCCACAGUACCCAUCAUAAUGCCUCGUUUGCCCAUAGCCAAGAUCGUAACAUGGUCCCCCACCGCGCCCCUCAUAACAUUCCCUGCAGCACACCCCGACCGGCGGGUGACACGGAACUGGAGCCGGUGCUGGUGCAGGUGCCGGUGCCGGUGCCGGUGCCGGUGGUGGUGGUGAUGGUUUUGGUGGCUCUUUAGGCUUUUCUGGCUCUUUGGGUUUCGCAGGCUCUUUAGGUUUCUCGGGCUCUUUAGGUUUCUCGGGCUCUUUGGGUUUCUCCGGCUCUUUGGGUUUCUCAGGUUGUUUUGGCUUCUCGGGUUCUUUGGGUUUUUCAGGUUGUUUUGGCUUCUCGGGUUCUUUGGGUUUCUCAGGUGCUUUUGGCUUCUCGGGUUCUUUGGGUUUUGGUGGUGGUGGUUUAGGCUUUUCAGGUUCCAGGAUUGCAAUACUCUUGAUUGAACCUUCACCUUUGCAGCAUAGUUUGUCCCUAAUCUUUUCAGGACUGCAGCACACUACUUUUAUUCUCACCGUAUUCGUCUUCUCAUCGAAUAUCUGGUCUUGUAUUUCUCUUGUUCAUAAAGUUUUCAACAUAUAUAUAUAUAUCUUAGCUCACUGAUCCAUAAUAAACCACUUUUAUUGACAAAUACAAAAAACACAAUCCCACGACUAAUUAAUUAUUAAAGUGAUCGGAGAUAGAGACACUUACGAGGGAAUUUGCAAAGUACUUUCUUGACUUUCUUGUAGCACUUUGAGCACUGAAGGUCAACCUUCAGCACCAUCGUCGUAACCUUCUGUAAACAUUACAGAGAUAGUUGAUUAAUGAAUGAUUUGUAGCCAUCACUGAUAUUUAGUAAUUACAGGCCAGGGAGUGGGAAAUAUUUUAAUGGUUAAUUUCUGAAAUUAAAGAAUUAAUCAACAACAGAAGCAACUCUCUCUUUCUCUCUCUCUCUCUCUCUCUCUCAAUCAUCAUGAGAUGCACAUAAAAAAUUUAACCAAAAGGGCAAUUUACAAACCUUCUCCCCCAUAUACAGCUGCGAUGCGAGUGCUGCUGCGAUCCGAGGCUCAGAAAAUGAGAUACUGAUUAUAUUAUUUGGAGAAUGUGGGAGCUAUGUAUGAAAAGGGUGUUUAUAAAUGAAGCCAAUUUGAAGCUUAUAUAUAUAUAUAUAUAUAUAUAUAUAUAUAUGAUAUGUAUCAAGGAGGAAAACGUAAGAGUUUGAAUUCCCGUACGCUUACAACCAAUCAUCUGGCGACAAGUCGUAUCGGACGUUGAAUUGCAUGUUAUCAUCAAGAUUGUCGUUAUGUAGAAAGUGUUGCUUCUCAUUUAUGAUUGCUGACUCUCCAAUCUUCCAUUGCAUUUGCACGUGCUGGCUGGCGUUUAGCCCAUCACCACCCCUCCCUCCCCUUUCUUUUUAAUCACUCAAGAGUCACAGAGAUCAUUAGUUUUAAUAAUGCUUCACUUGAAUCCUCCCUUACAAACUCCUAAUCACAUUCUAUUUCAUUCAAUUUAUUUUAUAACUUUUUUUAUUUUAUAAAAGUUAACAACAUCACAAGAGCAGUUUUAGAGUCCUACAAAUUGUUAUUGUUGUCUUUCAAUAAUGCAUAACACAUUUCAAGGUGAGUGUUAACAUGGUUAAUUAGCAGAUAUUUUAUGCCCUAAAUCUUUAUUGAGCUACUUUCUAAAAGCAAAAGUGAUAAGCACCCUCUCCAUGCAAGUGCAGCACAUCGUUCCUUGAUCUACAAUCAUGGGCCACGCACCCCUCACAUGGCGACCGUACGCGUGUCCCAAGGCGUAGUGCGCCACGGAUCAAGUAUUCAUUCAUCCACAACAACUUUCGCGUCUCAAUGUCAAAAAAGAGAACUACACGGUGUGGUACGUGUCGGUUUGAGAUGCCUGACAAUCACAAUAACAUUAGUCGUUUGAUGAAAUGAUUUCAUCGAGCUACCGUUGAUUGCAAUUUCCAUAAACAAAGGGCCCCACGAUCAGCGUAAGCUUUUGAAAGUUUAAGCAAUCCCCGUAAGUAUAGCUCCAAAGCUAAGCAAGCAACUUAUAUAGGGUUGUGGGGGCUAGCUAGCAGCUAACAUAUAUUUAAUGCCUAGAUUGGCCACAAGGUCUAAAUUGAAUUAAAAAGAUAAUGUUAUUAAUUUGCGCUAACAACUGAUUCUAAAUUUUAAUUUGUGUAAUAAUGGCAAGUGGCAGCAAGAGACAUACAAUGGAUUUAGGUAAGAGUUUGGAGUUUGGAGUUUGGAAGUGUCGGCAAUUGGUGGUUGCGACUUGCGAGAGAUUAAAUUUAAAUUUCCAAAAAGCAAGUUUGCUUAAUGGUUAGGUUACGUAGAUUUUGGGGAUUUUCUUUUUGUUUUUGUCCUUUUCCGGACAAAAUAUGGAAUCUAACACACAGACACAUAAACCUGUCAUUUCAAUCUUCUUUAAACGAAUUCGUUUUUUCAAAAGUGUGUGAAAUUUGUAUAUGAUAACAACAAUAGAUUAAAUUAAAAUUGAUAAAAAUAAUUUGUUAUCAGUUGAAAACUAUUUUAUGCUCAAUAGAUCACUUUAUUUAAUCUGACUAUGCCAAUAAUUAAGAAAAAAAAAUUAGAGUAAAUUUACCCUAUAUUUCAAAAAGUGAUUAUAUGUUUUCUUUUUCCCCAAUUGGUGUAGGCUGUAAUGCGUACAGAUUUGUUUUUAUAGUGUAAAAGUUUUUUUUUCCUACUAGAAAAAAAUAAUAUAAAUUCAAAUAAGACAAAAUUUACAAGACAUCAGCAAACAAUUAGACCCACUUGUUCAUUAAGAAUUUGUUAAUAAUAAAUUAAUAAUUGUAAAGCUACAAGUUAUUAUCAAACUAAAUGUUUGUGGGAUCAUAUGACUUAAAUGACAUUUGUCUCCAAAGUUUAAAAAUCAUGAGAGAAUGUGUACUAGCUUUAGAGAGACUUGAAACCAUUGUGUGGAUGGGUUCAUUCCCUCCUCAUUUGCUGUAUUUAUUUUCUUCUAUGAAAUGAAGGCAUUUUCUUUUCAAAAAAAAAAAAAAAAAUCGUGAGAGAAUGUCCAGGGGUAAAUGAAGAUUUUAUACGUAAAACUCAUAAUAUUAUCAUACUUUAUUUAGAAAUUCAGUAAUUCUACAGAAGUCUACAGGUUCCAUAGCACCUAUAGACUUACUUUAAUAUAAUAAAGGAUUUCUUACUUUAAUAUAAUAAGGGACAAGUUAAAAUAUAGAAAAACACAAAUUUUAAUAUAUUAUGAGAUAUAAUAUAAAUAGCAUUUACUUCUCGGAUUGGAUUAGGAAUCUUAGGAUUAUGAAUGUGGAGCAAGCGUGAGAGUAAAUUGUUUACUUAAUAAGAGUGUGGAAUAGGAAUCAGAAUCUCAUUUAUGUGUUUAUAUUGUCUUGAAUUGAAAGUAAAUUACUUCAAAUUACAGUUUUAUCCUUAUUUAAAGAAUUGUAGUUUUUAAUUACAAAGUGAAUAAAAAAUAUAUUUAAAAAUAAACUAUUUAUUUUAUUAUUAAGUUUAAUUAUAUAAAUAAAUAAAUAUUAUUAACAUUCUUAAUUAUAUAAAUCAUAAUUUUUUUAUUAAUUUUAAUUUUAGUUAUGUAAAUUAAAAAUUAUUGAUAAGAGCAACACAAAUGAAACAUUAUUAUUAAUAAUAUAAUAUAAUAUUAAUAUUUUGUUGGAAUAAACUAUCUAUUGCUAUUGCUAUUAACUAUUAAUACUAAAUAAAUAUAAUACUAUUAAAAUUAAAUAGAUAUAAUAAUAUUAUAUUUUCAAAUAAAGAUAGUAUGUAGUGAUAUUAUCAAUUCUCUACAAAUAUGAUAAUAUUAUCCUUAAAUAAUUUUAACUUAGAUUACAUAAAUUAUUAUUUUUAAUAUAUGUAAUAUUAUUAAAUAAUAUAAUAAUGUUAAUUCAAUAUAUAUAUAUAUAUAUAUAUAUAUAUAUAUAUAUAUAUAUAUUUUAAAUGUAACAUUAAAUUAUUUUAAUAAAGAUAAAUCAUAUCAUAUUUAAUGAAUGAAGGGUAAAAAAAGGAAGACCCCAUGGGUGAGACUCUCACUUCACACUUUCAAAUCCCAUUCUAGUAAGUAAAUAGGGAGAUUGUCAAUUUCCCCCCUACAGUAAUCAACAUAUACCAUUUUCCCCCCUGCUGUUUUUAUAAUGGCCAAAAACCCACAUGACAGCAUAAGUUUACAAUAUUACCCUUAUUUGUAACUACUCUUUUAUUUAUAUUUAUUAUAAAUUAAAUAAAUCAUAUGAAUAGAAAUUAAAUAAAAAAUUAAGUAUUAAAAACAAGAAAUAUAUGUUUUGAUAUGAGCAAAAAAAUUAAUAAUAAUAAUUUUUCUUAUACUUUAUUUAUUUUGUGAAAAUUUUCUUAUAAUAAAUAUAUAAGAAAAUUAUUAUAAAAUGAUAAAAAAAUUAUUAUAAGAAAACUUGAAUGACAAAUAAAAAUUUAUUAUAAGAUAAAUAAUAAAAUAUUUUGCCUAUAUUUUUUACAUUUAAUUUUAAAAUAUUACAAAAUUUUAUUAUAAGAAAAUGUUCACAAAAUAAAUAAUUACAAAAAAAAAUUAUUAUUAAUUUUUUUUCUCAUAUUAAAACAUAUAUUUCUUAUUUUUAAUACUUAUUUUUUUAUUUUAUUUCUAUUCAUGUAAUUUAUUUAAUUUAUAAUAAAUAUAAAUAAAAGAGUUGUUGAAAAUAAGGGUAAUAUUGUAAACUUAUGCUGUCAAUGAGAUUUUUGACCAUUAUAAAAACAAUAUGAGGGAAAAUGGUAUAUGUUGAUUACUAUAAGGUAGAAAUUGGCAAUCCCCCUAAGUAAAUACUACAAUAAUGCAUUGGAGUAUAUAUUUUUGUUUUCUUUUGCUUAUUCCCAUAUUGGAAAAAUACGUAUAAAAGAUCAUAAUAUUAAUCUCAUAAUUAGGACGGGAGCCCUUUGAGAAUUUUAAAGGAACUGCUGCUAUUUACGAGGUGGGCUAGAGAGCCCGACGGCGUGUUCAAAGAAUAUCAUUAUUUAGGCCGAGCCCAAAUUUUGUUUCUGGGCCUCACAUGCUAUGAGCUGAUAGUAAUUAAUGGUCUGAGCUUCAGAGUCAGCAAGUUAAAUUAAAUGCCCUCACUCACCAACCCGAGCCGCAAACGCAAACAUUGCAGAGCUGCAGGCUGCAGCGUCGCUCUUGACCAGUGUUGAAGGAAAACCGGUACACAAAGGUAGACUGGUCUACGAUCGCAUCAUUGGUAUUCCACCGUCAAACAGUUCUAAUAUAACCGGACCCAUUAAUUAAUUAUAGUGUACUGUCCUCAUUUCGAGUGCAAUUUCAAAUCAGUUUUCAAUAAUUAAUUAAUACCGACAUGGGCAGCAAUCAUAUUCUUACAGAAUCGAUCUUAUGCUUUUGCUGAACUUCCACGGAUUUUAUUUGCUUUCGGCUUUCAGGAAUCAGGGUUCUGGUUGUCAUCAUCAUCAUUACAUAUCAGAAUCAACUUUUGAUCCUGGGAAAAGUCAUGCAGCUUCUGUUUCCUUUUCGUCCUUUUUUCAUGUUCCAUUCCAUUGCGUAGAUAUGAAUUAUGGCAAAUGUUAUGUUACAUGAAAUGUAACAUAUACAUUUUAUAAUAAUCACAUAAAUUGUGUGGACUUAUUAUUUAUGUAGUUAUCGUGGAAUGUGUAUGUUAUAUUUAAUGUAACAUAAGGACUCACUUAAAUUAAAUAUAUAAUUAAAUCAACGGUCCAAAUUCAAAAUUACCAUUCCCCAAGAAAGAAUGCAUGAUUUUAUAUAUACAUAUACAUAUAUACACACCUAUUACAUUUUCUAUCUGGUUUUAACAAAAGAUGCUCAUUACCAUAUUAAUUAAUUUUCAUGCAUGCAUGAUUAAUUUGUAAAAUUCUUUCAUAUUGAUUUGAGCCUUCACUUUGGGUGAAGGGUAGGGUUGAGGCUCAAGUUGUUUACAUAAGGACAACAAAUGAAUAACCUUUUCUUCUUUAUCUUUCCCACCCUUUUUCUUUCACAUGUGUCACUCCAAUAUAAUGAAGUGAUGAUAAAGUGUAUGAUCACCACGCAUGUCACUCAGUGAAUGGUUAAAAAUGGAAAAUGGGAUCCCAUCUGAUGCAAUGCGAUACGAUGCCUGCUCCAGUACUUUUUCAAGAUACUUGAUAGCCAUCCCAGGCUGACUCUGUGACCAUAAAGUGUACAUCUUGAUUGUGUUAUCGAGCAAGCAUAGUAUCAUUCCGGCUUGGAAUCCAAAAUCGGCGGGCUCCAUUCCAAAGAAUUAUUCACAAAGUGACAGCCACGUUUCCAUCCAUCCAUCCACAAACGCUUGUCUUUUUUGUUCUUUCAUAAUUAAGCCACAGCCAUUACUCAUUAGAUUUCAGCCCUUUUUUUUGUAUGAUAAUCUUAUUUACGAAGAUUUGUCAAAAGAUAAUUAUCAUUUGUCACUGACAACCCAUCCACAGCAAUGUAACUAAUGUCAAUAUCAAUAAAGAGGGAAGCCAAAAAGACAUAAAUAUAAAAAUAAAAGUAUCUUGCAUCAAGACGAAAGAAUAAUGUGAAAGAAGAAGCUUUGUUCUUUGCUAGCCAUGCAAAAGAAAACCUUAUCAAGAUCUUUCCGGAACUUUUAUUAUUAAUUAUAUUAUAAAAGCAAUAAGUGAUUUUCGAGUGGUAUGAAUGAAUCAUGAUAUAUAUGAAGACUGAAGUCAUAUUAUGGGAUCAGGCUACGGUGCAACUGUGGCACCGUGCCACAGUUGCAUCUAACCGUUGGAUGCAAUUAGAUUGAUGGGAUCCACUGACAUCCAACGGUUAGAUGCAACUGUGGCACGGUGCCACAGUUGCACCUAAGGUUCCCCCAUAU
rnacentral:lncRNA from 1 species